GCGAAAGGGGGGCAACCCCCGAGUAGAGUGGCGAACGGGUGAGUAAUACAUCGGAACGUGUCCAGUAGCGGGGGAUAACCUCUCGAAAGAGAGGCUAAUACCGCAUACGACCUACGGGUGAAAGAGGGGGAUCGCAAGACCUCUCACUAUUGGAGCGGCCGAUGUCGGAUUAGCUAGUUGGUGAGGUAAAAGCUCACCAAGGCGACGAUCCGUAGCUGGUCUGAGAGGACGACCAGCCACACUGGAACUGAGACACGGUCCAGACUCCUACGGGAGGCAGCAGUGGGGAAUUUUGGACAAUGGGCGCAAGCCUGAUCCAGCCAUGCCGCGUGGGUGAAGAAGGCCUUCGGGUUGUAAAGCCCUUUCGGCUGGGACGAAAAGGUCCGUGCUAACACCACGGAUCCAUGACGGUACCAGCAGAAGAAGCACCGGCUAACUACGUGCCAGCAGCCGCGGUAAUACGUAGGGUGCAGGCGUUAAUCGGAAUUACUGGGCGUAAAGCGUGCGCAGGCGGUUUGCUAAGACAGGUGUGAAAUCCCCGGGCUUAACCUGGGAACUGCGCUUGUAACUGGCAAGCUUGAGUGUGGCAGAGGGGGGUGGAAUUCCACGUGUAGCAGUGAAAUGCGUAGAGAUGUGGAGGAACACCGAUGGCGAAGGCAGCCCCCUGGGCUAACACUGACGCUCAUGCACGAAAGCGUGGGGAGCAAACAGGAUUAGAUACCCUGGUAGUCCACGCCCUAAACUAUGUCAACUGGUUGUCGGGGAAGCAAUUCCUUGGUAACGAAGCUAACGCGUGAAGUUGACCGCCUGGGGAGUACGGCCGCAAGGUUAAAACUCAAAGGAAUUGACGGGGACCCGCACAAGCGGUGGAUUAUGUGGAUUAAUUCGAUGCACCGCGA
rnacentral:rRNA from 1 species